rnacentral:rRNA from 1 species
UACGUAGGGUGCGAGCGUUAAUCGGAAUUACUGGGCGUAAAGCGUGCGCAGGCGGUGAGCUGUGUCCGAUGUGAAAGCCCCCGGGCUUAACCUGGGAAUGGCAUUGGAAACUGGCUCGCUGGAGUGUGGCAGAGGGGGUGGGAAUUCCGCGUGUAGCAGUGAAAUGCGUAGAGAUGCGGAGGAACACCGAUGGCGAAGGCAGCCUGGCUAACACUGACGCUCAGGCACGAAGCUAGGAGCAACAGG